rnacentral:lncRNA from 1 species
UGACUCGAUCGCUUACUUCCCAUCGGAGACUCUCGUCUCUCGUUUCUCCUGUUCCGCCGUUCCGAUCUCCCAUCUCUCGAUCUCCAGCGGCAAGCGGAAACUACAGGCAAUGACAGUCCAAAUUCAAGGUAUCACAUCGCUACAUCUUUCUCCCUCAAUCCUAGUAGUAUCCUAGUACGCUAAUAUCAUUUGCCCUAAUUAUUUUUCUAAUUGCUUUCCCCACUCAACUUUGACCUAUCUAGGCUAUAGAAUUGUAUUUCUCAAAAGGAGAUAAAUCAUCAGAUUGAGAUAAUGAGGCUAGCAGUUCAAGCCACCCGAUGUAGGCAAAAUGCAAGCAGUUUCCCAAAGCCUUCUAUUCAAAGAGAAUUGAUUUAGAUGAUCCGCUUUUAGUCCAGCUGAUCGGAAGAGAAUAUUUGGAGUGCAAAACGAAAAUCAUAAGAAGCAACAACAAAUCAAGAACCGUAUAUGCCUCCACCUGUUUUUGGCUAUGCAUAUAGGGUUAUUCGAGAUGCCCCACAAAGAUUUAUUUUAUGUAGAACAUCUAUCCUUUAGUCCAUCAACUUUAAAGCUAGUAAGUUACCACAACAGUAAUGACGAGAUGCUUUUUCUGCUACGAAUGUUCUCAACAAAAUGUUGCGCAAUAAAUUAGGUGAUCAGUGUUCAUGAUUGGUUGCUUAAUUUGCUUUGUGGAGAAAUAUAUGUUUUAUAUCAUCAGUAUGAUUAUGUAUCUGAUCAUUUUAAGAUGAAUAACUCAAAAAAGGGGGACUAUGAAACGUGAUUGUCUUUGUGUGCUUCUUUCAUUUGAUAUGACUUAUUUUAAAUUUGCCAAACUAAUUUUUCAUUCGUUCCAGUGAUUUCAGGAGGAUGAGAACUUGCAGCUGAAGCUAUGAAGUUUAUUUUCGGCAUCACUCUACUUACAAUAUGUAAAGUGGUUUCUUAAUUUUGUCCAACUGGUAUGUCUUGCACUCUUCUAGUUUUAGUGUAACA